GUGCUCGCUUCAACAGCGCACAUACUAAAACUGGAACAAUACAGAGAUUAGCAUGGCCCCUAUGCAAGGAUGGCAUGCAAAUUCGUGGAGCAUUCCAUAUUUAA